AACUGAGCCACCCAGGCGCCCAAUUUACACAUUUUUAAAAGCUGCCUCUGCAGAGAAGAGGAGAAAGCCCUGCAAGCUCCCAGGCCUCCCUGAAGCCUCGCGGCCGCUGCAGUACAAAGAUGGAGGAUGUUGGUGGUAAAGGCAGUGAGGGUGGAGGUGGAUCCUUACGUUUGAGCAAAGAAGACUUUGUCAACAAGAAUCCCACACUCGGAGAUCCUUCACGGAGACAUCCAUCUAUUCCAACCAAAGUGAGCUUCCAGAGACGGGUAGGAUGACGAAAGAGGACAUGGUAGCAGGAUAGGAGUUAGAGGCGGCUUCCAGCUGGAGGGCUGCGGCCCCUUUAAGGCCCAAUCCGGGGCUUGGCCCUUUAAA